CACGUAACUGAAGAUGUCCUUGCCUAUUGUCAAGUUUCAUAUAUAAAUGCCGCCUUUGCAGCUGGAUUUCAUUGUGAUUACGGUAUUUCACGAUGAAAAGUAUAAUCUUUGUGUGUGUUGUGCUUGUGGCCCUUACAUGCUUGGCUACUGAAGCUACAGCUCAACGAGCACCUCCCAACCUAGGAGGAUACAACGGAAACGCUCGAACUAACCCCCCUAGAACCAUUGGAGGUCCCGACAGUGUUUACAGGGGGGGCAACCGAGGAGGUAUCAGACGUCAAUAUUAAUAAAUAACUUCCACUGUACUUCUCCAACAAACAAAAAUAAAAUAACACACUUGCAUCUUAAAA